UUUCUCUCUCUCAAAUCAAUUGUUGGUGUCGGUGAUUGAACGAUCAUUGGUUAGAGGGGAACUUUCAUUAACUUUGUUUCGGAACCGGAAUGGGGUCGAUGGGACCAUGCUCUGUUGCACGUUCAGAUGAGUGAUUUCAGGGAUUUGGGGUAGGGAGAGUGAUUUCAGGGAUUGGUAAUCCCAUCCCGUGUUUUCCCCUCAUCUCUGUCACACUCAACCUCUCUCUAAUCCUUUCUCUUUCACUCUCUUUCAGACUCUUCCUUUCUCCCAACUCUCCAUCUCUCAACUUUAGUGCUAACCCUAAUUUGUUCUUUCAUUCCUCAAUUUUCUCCAUUCGAGCAAUGAAAAAUCGAACUGGGUUUUCAGAUUAUUGAUGCUUCACGGACAGAGAAUGACCAGAUGAAAAAAGAGGGAAACAUGGAUUAUAUAUGCACGAAGGGCACCACAACAAAUGUGUGAAUCUUCCUGCACCACCGGUCUCCGCAACGUUUUCCAAAACCCGCUUGACCGAAGGACAAGGAGUUGGACCCUGGAUCUAACGACUUUCUGGAAGCUCUACAAAUCAAUCUUCCUUUAUUUUCUAACCCAGCGUCCUUUCAUUUCAUCUUCGUUCUGGAGCCCUCCCUGUUUUCCACAUCUCCUCUCACACUACCUAAAGCCGAAACCAAACCCAGCUAUGCAGGAAUCAAAUCACAAGUCUCCGACACCCACAAAGUGGUGCAUAUCUCGAUUGACAAGGAUGAACAGAAGCGGAUAUAACAACAGUGAGACCAAUAUGAGAUCCAACAGAAAAAAAAAAAAAUAGCGGCGGAGAAGCCGAGGGCUACGGAUUCAAAAGGAAAAGGUAUGAGCCCUGGCUCUGUACUAAUAUUGACUUGGAUUAGAUGAAUUUUUGAGUUCUUUGCAUCCGUGAAUGAAGUUUGUGAUCUCUGUGUGAUCUCAUUCACUGAUCCCUGGAUCUUGAAUUUGUCUAAUAUGCUCAUGGAUGUGCUCUGUUUGUUGUCAUGUACAAAUUGGUGAAUGUUGAACAAAAUGCUUGCAUGUUGGAUCUGUGAUUUGGGCUUGAACAAAAGUACCUCUGUGCUGCCUGGAUCCUCCACUCCCAAACUUAGAAUGAAAGUCUGCUUGAAUCAGGACUUAUCGAAUCAAGGCAGCUGCAAGGAAAUUUGAGCUUUGGCAUGUAUAGAUACGAUUUUGCAACGAAGCUAGUCAGAAAGAAGGCACUCAAAUUACUUCUGCUCCAACCCAUUUCAACAAUUUAUCAAGCUUUAGUUGAAGCUCCUGGGAAGCAUAUCCAUUAUAUUGCCAACCUUGAAAAGCCUUGGUAAAUAAUAUGCCAUCAAAUAGGCAAAAUCAUAUCGGCUACAAAGUGCAAUGAAUGUUAUAGGUUACUAAGUUUCGCCAUAUGCCUUCAUUGUGGCAUUGCCCUAUCUGUCGACAAUUUGCUUCACAAACCUCAACGGUUAGCUUCCAUACAAUAUGAUGCAAGUUUGAGGAUAUCUCUACAUCUUAAUUUCUGCUCUCUGGUUGCUUCAAGUUUGUAAUUUUAAGUGCUACACUGCCACUUGAUUUGAUUAUAAAAAUGUAAAACAAAAUCCAUCAAUGAUUUACAAAUUUGUAUUCGAUUUUUGAUGUUUUUCCAGUGUAAGGCAUAUGUUGCACAAGCAUGUAAAAUGGUACAAAUUAUUUGGUUUUGGACAGGAAGCUUUGAGUAUUACAAGAAAAAUCAAGAAAA